GUCAGGCUCAGUCCCCUCCCGAUAAACCCCUAAAUAGGGACCUUCCCGGGGGUUUGCCCGGGAUUUCUCCGCAGAAACCCCCAGUUUAAGAAGGCCUCUCCCCUACCCUGAGACUCAUCAGGCCAACGUGGUGAUUUCUAAAACUGCCAGCUGCUCGCUAUUUCCUGUUGCAAAUUAGGAGAAAAACAAAGCACGUAUUAUCUGAACCUUAGGCACAGUUGAGAAUGUGCUAGCAGAAUAUUACUCAAAACAUUCUACUUUUAAGUUUGCCGAGAAACAAAUUAACUUUACAAAAGAAUCAUUUUCGGCGGACACAACAUCCUUGUUUG